rnacentral:ncRNA from 1 species
GACCGGUUACCCGAACAGUCACCCUUAGGUGCGCGUGCCACGCAGAGCGAUGGAUAGGGUAACCGGUCGUUC